UUUUACGACGCUGCUCCGCUGCUCGGUUUGCACCUCCAUUUUUCACGAUAUUUUGAUAGUUUUUCAUGUUAUUUGCAAAUCAGGUGGAGCUGGAGUUUCUCUUUAGUGAGAAAUCUUUCGUACUAUACUUCACCAUUUCAAAAUACGGGAAGGUUUUAUUAAUUUUAUAAGUUAACCAAUGGCACGGUGUGUUACGUUAAAACUCAGCGGCGAAAUAUAUGUCAGAGGAGGAGAAUAGAUUUCCUAUAAUGGAAGACUACUAUAAGAUUAAACUUUUGAUCCCAAUAUGGAAAUUUUGUAGGAAAAUCUAGCAAGCAUCAGACACUCGCCUAGUCGACCCGUCCGGGGUCGGUGAGACCCCAGCCUGCAUCGCAGCAGCAUUCACCCACAUCUCUGCCCUCUCAGUCAGCUAAAUAUUAAGAAAAAUAUUUUAUUGUAAUAAUUUAGUGAAUGGUAAUAUGCACUGAAAUUCUUUGGAUUUGUAAGAUACUGAAUAAUAUUAUAAUUGUGAAAUUAAUCGUUUUAUAUUGCUCUGUAAUAUUAGAUUAAUUGUUUUAUAGUCAUACGCAAUUUCUGCACAAUUCAGUUGGGGCUUCUUAUUUUUUUCAUAUUAUAUUUAUGUACCCAAGUAACACAACAAGUAACAUUUAUGUAUGAAUUCUGAGGCAGUAACAAUAUUUCUUUUGUUAGUGCACAUAGUGCCAGCAUUAACAAAACCAUGUCAUUGUUCCAUGUCACAAAAUAAAAUGUGGGUUUACCUUUCGGAGGGAGGACACAUCCGUUUUCUGCAUUAAACUUCUAUGUACUGGCCAUUUUUCUUAGAAUAUGAAUAUACAGGUAUUUUGUUUGAGACAAAAUUUUGGUUUUAUUUAUAAAUAAAAUGAUUAAUAAAGUUCAUAUAAAGUCA